UACGUAGGGUCCGAGCGUUGUCCGGAAUUACUGGGCGUAAAGAGCUCGUAGGUGGUUUGUCGCGUUGUUCGUGAAAACUCACAGCUUAACUGUGGGCGUGCGGGCGAUACGGGCAGACUAGAGUACUGCAGGGGAGACUGGAAUUCCUGGUGUAGCGGUGAAAUGCGCAGAUAUCAGGAGGAACACCGGUGGCGAAGGCGGGCCUCUGGGCCGAUACUGACGCUGAGGAGCGAAAGCGUGGGGAGCGAACAGG
rnacentral:rRNA from 1 species